GGGGGGCCUGUACACAGGUCCUGGAGAGCAGGGAGGGCAGAGGGCAGUCAUCUCCCCAACAACGUACACCCCAUCUCCAGGCUUCACUACACUCCCAUGUUCUGUCAGCCUUUGAAAAUGCAAUUUUCUUCACCCAGGAAGGCUGACUAUCUGAUUCCUACCUUCCCCUCAACCCCCACGGUUAUUAUCGCCUCAGGACUAAUGGACUCAGGCAGAAACAUGGCUCGGCAAAGUUUGUUCCUGCUGCCUUAGGGUCUUUAGACAAAGAGCUCCCUGAAGUUUGGUGACUCGGUCCCCAGGCUAGGUUUCGUAAUUCAGAUAUUGAAUGUCCAGGGCCCGAGCCCUGGCCUAGGCGCUCACCUCAUCCAGUUUGAAGGCAAUCAUGGACACGGCGUGGAAAACGGCCCCCGUGGAGCCGGUGAUGGUGGUGAUUCUCUCUGGGCAGGAGCCCUCCGAGAUUGUGAUCCGGGCACAGCUCUGGGGGGCGCAAGGGGGGAAGGAGGACAGGACAAGGGCAGCAAGGGCCAGAGCCCCAAGAGGGCAGGCCCAGCAGCCCAGUCUCCCCAGGAAAACUGCCUCU